CCGAGUUGUUUAAACUAAUGUUUUUAUAAAAAUUUAUUUUAAAUGCAAAAAUUAUUUUGAAAUUUUUAUUAUUUUGAUAAUAUAAAAUAAAUUAAAAUUAAAAUUGCAAUAAAUAGAUUUAUAUAUAUAUAUAUAUUAUAAUGUAUUUAAUAAUUUAAGAUAUAGUAAAAUUAUAAGUAUAGACUAAUUUUGUGCCAGCAGUAGCGGUUAUACAGGUUAUGCAAUAAAAAUAUAUCGAAUUUAGUUAAUUAUUAAUAUUUGUGUUAGAUUAAAAUAAAAAAUUUAUAAGGUGAAAUUUAUAAAUUUUUAUUAAUAUUUAAAUUAUAUGAGGCUGAAAAAUUUUGGGCAUAGACUAGGAUUAGAUACCCUAUUAUAAAAUAGUAAAAAUAAAAAUUUAUACUAUUAUAAGUUUAAUUUCUUUAAAAUAAAAAAAGUUGGCGGUAUUUUAUCUUUUCAGAGGAAUCUGUCCUAUAAAUGAUAAUCCACGUUUAAUUUGUCUUUUUUUUUUAAUUUGCAUAUCGCUGUGGUUUGAGUAUCUUUAUAGAGUUUAAUAUUCAAGAUUUAAAUAUAAAAAAUUUCAGGUCAAGAUGUAGUUUAUAAAAAAGUAGAGAUGGAUUACUAUUAUUUAAAUAUUGGAAUAAGGCUAUAAAAGUUUUAUGAAAUUGGAUUUGAUUGUAAUUUUUUAUGUAUUUGAGAAAUGAUUUAGUCCUAAAAUAUGCACAUAUUGCCCGUCGCUUUCAUCUAAAUUGAAAUAAGUCGUAACAAAGUAGGUGUACUGGAAAGUGUCCCUAGAAAAAC
rnacentral:ncRNA from 1 species